rnacentral:lncRNA from 1 species
AUGAACGCGUUUGUAUUUAGCAUACCCGCUCACCUACUCAGAUUCCAAGAAGAGCCCACAGGCGUCACCAGGGUCUGCUGUGUCUGUUCUUUCCUGUCCUCCCACCCCCUCCCUUCCUUCCAGCCCAAGAGGGAAGUGAGAAAGAUGUUCACUUGCUGGCACGAUCGGGAGCCGCUUCUCCAUUCAUUACGCGAUCCUCCAGGAGCGCUAAAUGCAACUUUAUCUCAGCAGGGAAUGGACCAGGAGCAGGACGUCGCUGGAUGGAGAGAGCCUCGCUUCACAUUUUCUUUGGCGUCGCCCCCUUCCCGAGCUCAGGGAGCAGCCCUUCCUUGGUUGGAGAGAGGACCGGCGGCAGAGGCGCUGUGCAAGGGCCCGUGCCAUCUCCGGUGAAUUCUCCUCGUCCCCAGCCCCACCCCUCUCUGGAGCGCGCGGCUGACAGCGGCUGCCUACUUGGGUGCUGCCUCUCUUUUUCCAACCGGGGAGCCUGGAAAGUUCGCCUUUGACUCCGCAGUCACUACCUCCCCUCCUCCCACCUAUGGGAUUGAACCGGGUUCACGUGUCCGAAUAUAGGCACUUGGGGUGGUCCCUGGGAAUUGUCGACGAGAGCAUAGAGUUUGUUUCGUGUACAUGGGCAGGAGGCCGGAUCCCCUGCUCUUUCUGGAACCCGGGAAUGUGGCCGCACCUGCAGAGCCCGGACACUUUGGGUCCUAGCGGCUGAAGGCAAAGCUCGGCUCCUCGCAGACUCCUGGCUCUCCGUUUCUCUUAGGCAGUUGGUCAGUUUGCAACGAGGCCCAUUUCACAGUGCAGCCAGCGCCCAGCGGGUACCGGAAACCUCCAGGGCCCAGAGAGGUCUGGCUGUAGGGGGCUGCUCAGGUCUUGAAGGGACAGGUAUGGGAACCGCAGGUCCAGAGCAGGGCUUACGGGUCUGGGGCAGCGCGGAGGUGCAGCGGAGGAGAGAACGGCGCACUACUUUGGUCCCCAGUCUCUCAUCCACUCCUCGUGCAUCUCGGCCACGUUGUUCCCCGGCGGUAGCGACGGAGCUCCUUCAGGGUUCCAGCACCCGCUUCCCGGCUCCUGUUCCGCAGCGCCCACUCCGCCCGUCCUGGACGGCGGCCCGCGGGGCCCAGUGCAGUCCCCGAGGACUUAGUCCCCGGCCGGGCCUCAAUACCUCUCGCUAGGGCUGGGAGAUUGCCUGGAGGCCACAGUCCUCCCUCCCGGCCAGCCACUGCCCAGCACCCGCAGCCGCUCGCCCACCUGGGUCCCCAAGGCCAGGGGUGGGGAUGGGAAGGGGUCGGGGGUAGUAAGGCCGUCCUCUUCUGGGGCUCUCUGGCAUUCAAAUUGGGACCGGCAGAUAAGGUUCCCAAGUAAACCGGUAGAAAUGCCUUUUCUU